CAACAUUCAACAUUCAUGUCUGCUGUCCAUCUAAAACUAUGGUUAAACAUUUUAUCAGCCUUUUGCAGACAUCCCACCCUGCCAAAUUUCAGAAGGCAUAAAUAUGAGGGGCCUGUACUUUCACUCGUGAUAAGACAGAGUUGUUUUGCCAACCUUCACAUUGCAGAACUUUAUAUCAGCUGCGUCACACAGAGGAAACAACAUAUUAACUGAGUUGUUUACAAGGGAAUUGGAGAUCUGUCCUGUAUUUAAAAACUGAAGUAACAAAACGGAAGUAGCCAAAAACAUCAAACUUCCUUCAGAGGAUGCCUUCGCCUAAAUAUAUUUUAAACGAAACACUUAAAUUUCUGAAACAAAAGCCAUUUUUCAGCACUUUUCCAUCAAGUCUUUUGUUAAUUGGAUUGGAGGAGUUGAUUGAAAAACAGUUUUUUUCAUGCCCUUGCAAAUAUGAACAGAAUGCACUGCUAACAACAUCCAUCUUCACUGGACCUACUCUUUUUAUUUUUGCUUUAAUGUUCUUCUGUUUUAGGGCAUUUAAACAGGAAUGGUUUCAUUGUGAUGGAAAUGAAAUGAAGAAAACAGAGAAAAAGAAGAAAACGAAGAAAAUGAAAAAAGAAAAUGAAGAAAAUGAUGAUGAAGGAAAUGAUGAGCUGAGCGAUGCAAAGUUUGCAGGUUACAUUAUGGUUGCUGUCUUCAGUUUUGUGGCAGUCAUCUUUAUUGUUAUUUAUAAUUGCUGCAUAAGUAAAAAUGUGAUUCCUGCUCAAAACAAUUAUCCUGUGGCAGACGAACAGCAGAGCCACAGAGUGAGGGACAAGGUGAUGACCACGAACCAGAAUCUGUACCACUUGGAACUGUAAACACUUCCUCCAGCACUUCAACUGUAUAAAUUUAAUUCAGGUUUAAUUUGAUUGAGGUUCAUGCAAGGGACCAAAACAGACACCAUGCAAUGAGACAAUAAACUUACUAAUCUGAAGAAAAGAUCAUGAAGCAAGGAAACAGAAAUCCAUUUGCUUGAUCUUCUCUCCUCACCCAUCCUAAAUCCCUCUCUCCCCACUCCUUUUCCUUUCACUCUGGCUGAAAGUUCACAAAGAAUGGCAAUACAUAUGAUGAAUCUUGUGCAUCUAUUGCUUUUUCUCUUUCAUGUUUGGUAUUACUUUAAAUGUCUCGGUGCGAUUGGUAAAAUUGUCUUAAUUUCACAGAAGUCAUUUAUAUUAUGAGAAAGAUUGAAAACUCUGAAUUCUGUUUAGUUGUUAGAGGGUUGUGGGUAACACUUUAUUUUAGAGUGUUUUAACUAAUUGCUUAUUAGCAUGCAUAUUACUAGAAUAAUGGCUGUUUAUUAGUACUUAUUAAGCACAUAUUAAUGCCUUAUUCUGCAUGACCUUAUUCUACAUUCUUAAGCCUACCCAAUACCUAAACUUAACAACUACCUUACUGACUAUUAAUAAGCAUUAAAUUAGGAGUUUGUGUAUUUAUCAUUUCUGGUUUGGCUUCUUAUUGUUUAAUUAAUUGGCAUGAUACAUUUUUACCUGACAAAUAAAAUGUUAUAUUUGAUUGAUUCUGUAUUCUUCUGAAAUAUAUAUUUUUAAGUAGAUUAAAGUGGAGUCUGGUGUUACCGCAAAUAUUGUGUCCAGGAUAGGAUAAUCUGAAGCCCCACGAAUGAAUGGAGCAUAGGGCACAUCAUCAACUCAUAAUAAGGACCGAUGCCCACCCACCACAAUCUCACAAAAUCCUGUGGGAAACACUGUGGCAACUUAUAAUGUAAUCACAGUUCAUAAGGACCCCACGUCAGACGUUUUUUUCUGACGUCAUGACACACGAGCCUGUUCUGAACUUCUGCUCGACCACCAUUUUCUUUUUCUCUCCGGACUCGGAUGAAAAAGAAGGCAAUUACAUCAGCAUAGAAAAAAACAUGGACAAAUACAAUAAAUGAAAGAUGCAAAUGAAACUGCUUUAAAUUUUCAGGUAAAAUAGGUAUAGCAGCAUUCAAGUAAGACACAUAAUAAUCAAAUGAAAAAAUAAAACUGCAUAUUUUUCACUGUAUGAAUAAAACGUGUACUGAUUCUA